rnacentral:rRNA from 1 species
CAGCUUGUUGGUGAGGUAAUGGCUCACCAAGGCUUCGAUCAUUAGGUGGUCUGAGAGGAUGAUCAUCCAGACUGGGACUGAGACACGGCCCAGACUCCUACGGGAGGCAGCAGUGAGGAAUCUUGCACAAUGGGGGAAACCCUGAUGCAGCAACGCCGCGUGGAGGAAGACGGUCUUCGGAUUGUAAACUCCUUUUAUUAGGGACGAACAUUGACGGUACCUAAUGAAUAAGAGGUGGCUAACUAUGUGCCAGCAGCCGCGGUAAUACAUAGACCUCAAGCGUUAUCCGGAUUUACUGGGCGUAAAGCGUGCGUAGGUGUCUUUUUAAGUCUCUGGUGAAAUCUCCGGGCUCAACUCGGAAACUGUCAGAGAAACUAAAAGGAUUGAGUACGGCAGAGGCAGACGGAAUUCUCAGUGUAGCGGUAAAAUGCGUAGAUACUGAGAAGAACACCGAUGGCGAAGGCAGUCUGCUGGGCCGGUACUGACACUGAGGUACGAAAGCGUGGGUAGCGAACGGGAUUAGAUACCCCGGUAGUCUA